UACGUAGGUGGCAAGCGUUGUCCGGAUUUAUUGGGUUUAAAGGGCGCGUAGGCGGCUGUUCAAGUCGGGGGUGAAAGCCUGUGGCUCAACCACAGAAUUGCCUUCGAUACUGGACGGCUGGAGACCGGAAGAGGUCAGUGGAACUGCGAGUGUAGAGGUGAAAUUCGUAGAUAUUCGCAAGAACACCAGUGGCGAAGGCGGCUGACUGGUCCGGUUCUGACGCUGAGGCGCGAAAGCGUGGGGAGCAAACAGG
rnacentral:rRNA from 1 species